GACGAACCGUGCGAACGUUGUUCGGAAUCACUGGGCUUAAAGGGCGCGUAGGCGGGCUGCCAAGUCUGGGGUGAAAUCCUCCGGCUCAACCGGAGAACGGCCUCGGAUACUGGCGGUCUCGAGGGAGGUAGGGGCGUGCGGAACUAAGGGUGGAGCGGUGAAAUACGUAGAUAUCUGGAGGAACACCGGUGGCGAAGGCGGCGAUCUGGCCCAACACUGACACUGAGACCCGAAAGCGUGGGGAUCAAACAGG
rnacentral:rRNA from 1 species